rnacentral:rRNA from 1 species
CUCAUGCACGAAAAGCGUGGGUAUCGAACAGGGAUUAGAUACCCUGGUAGUCCACGCGGUAAACGAUGAUAACUAGUUAUCCGGCCAGAUUGAUGGUUGGGUGACCGAGCGAAAGCGUUAAGUUAUCCACCUGGGGAGUACGCCGGCAACGGUGAAACUCAAAGGAAUUGACGGGGGCCCGCACAAGCGGAGGAACAUGUGGUUUAAUUCGAUGAUACGCGAGGAACCUUACCCGGGCUCAAACGCAAGGCGCUACAUCCUGAAAGGGGUGGUUCUUCGGACGUCUUGCGAGGUGCUGCAUGGUUGUCGUCAGCUCGUGCCGUGAGGUGUCGGCUUAAGUGCCAUAACGAGCGCAACCCCCAUCUUCAGUUGCCAUCGGGUCAGGCCGGGCACUCUGGAGAGACUGCCGGCGCAAGCUGUGAGGAAGGCGGGGAUGACGUCAAAUCAGCACGGCCCUUACGUCCGGGGCGACACACGUGUUACAAUGGCGGGGUGACAGCGGGAAGCCAGGCGGCGACGCCGAGCCGAUCCCGAAAACCCGUCUCAGUUCGGAUCGGAGUCUGCAACCCGACUCCGUGAAGCUGGAUUCGCUAGUAAUCG